rnacentral:lncRNA from 1 species
AUGGCUGGGAAUAAAGGAUGAGGACGUGCUGCUUAUACCUUUAAUAUUGAGGCUGUUGGAUUUAGCAAAGGUAAAAAGUUACCUGAUGUAGUGUUGAAACCACCCCCACUAUUUCCUGAUACAGAUUAUAAACCAGUGCCACUGAAGACAGGAGAAGGUGAAUAAUAUAUGCUGGCUUUGAAACAGGAGUUGAGAGAAACAAUGAAAAGAAUGCCCUAUUUUAUUGAAACACCCUCAUGAAGAAAGACAAGAUAUUGAAAG